AUUGAACGCUGGCGGCAUGCUUUACACAUGCAAGUCGAGCGGCAGCGCGGGACUCAGGCAACUGAGCCCUGGCGGCGAGCGGCGAACGGGUGAGGAAUACAUCGGAACGUACCCCGGAGUGGGGGAUAACGCCGCGAAAGCGGCGCUAAUACCGCAUAUGCUCUGUGGAGGAAAGUGGGGGACCCGCAAGGGCCUCACGCUCUGGGCGCGGCCGAUGUCCGAUAGCUAGUUGGUGAGGUAAUGGCUCACCAAGGCGACGAUCGGUAGCUGGUCUGAGAGGAUGAUCAGCCACACUGGGACUGAGACACGGCCCA
rnacentral:rRNA from 1 species